AUCACUAUCAUCAUCGUCAUCGUCGGCAUCAUCAUCAUCGUAGUCGUCGUCAUCAUCAUCAUCAUCAUCAUCAUUAUCAUCAUACUCAUGAUUAUCAUCUUCCUCAUGAUUAUCAUCAUCAUCAUCAUCGUCGGAUGAAGGUCGGAUGACAAAGGCAAUCGCUACUCGGAGUAUUCUUACAGUAUGUGUAAGAAUCCAUUGACAGCUGUAAAUGUUGCCUACUUGCUACACAAUUCAAAUGAAUUGACAUGCCCACAUAUAACAUCCAAUAGUACAUCUUUGUUCCUCUGAUGAAAUUAUUAUUAUUAUUAUUAUUAUUAUUAUUGAGUGAGAGAGCAGUUCAUGCCAUCAAAGUGACACUGGGGUAAAAUAUACGAAGCCCAAUAUACCCAUCAUGACUACCCGUCUGAUAAAGGUACACCAGGCACAUGCAUCACAACCAUAUGUGCGCGACAUGGUGAUCUCAUAUCAAGAUAAACAGCACAUGACCUUGCAGGUGGGGCCCAGUUAGAAUUUUCUUCAGGUUGAGUAGCCCAUCCCGCUCAAACGGUCCCUGAAUAAGGGUUGUUUAAGGAUGUUGAAAGAACCACCCAUGUUUCCAGAGGUGAACUAUUCAAACCCCAAAGAAUCCCUCUCAACACAUGGCUAUGAUGCUCCCCCACUACUUCUGCUCAUGAUCAGAGAUGCACAUAUCGUCAGCCACUAAGGGACAUGCUCAACUGGUUAAGGUCAAACAACUGACAAGCAAAUCUGUGGUAUUGAGCAGAAUAUUUGCUGUAGCCCAUCUUUUAUACCAAGACAAAACAAUGUACAUGAUAACACUUCCAAUCAGUUAAGAUCAGAAGCCAUGAGAGCCACUGCCUGGUACUGCAUCAGGGCAUUUAUUAUUAUUAUUAUUAUUAUUAUUAUUAUUAUUAUUAUUAUUAUUAUUAUUAUUAUUAUUAAUAUUAUUAAGGAGGCAAGUGUCUUCUACUAUAGCCUCGGGCCGACCAAAGCCUUGUGAGUGGAUUUGGUAGGCGGAAACUGAAAGAAGCCCGUCGUAUAUAUGUAUAUAUAUAUAUAUAUAUAUAUAUAUAUAUAUAUACAUAUAGAUAUAUAUGCGUGUAUGUGUUUGUGUGUCUGUGUUUGUCCCCCUAGCAUUGCUUGACAACUGAUGGUGGUGUGUUUAUGUCCCCGUUACUUAGCGGUUCGGCAAAAGAGACCGAUAGAAUAAGUACAGGGCUUACAAAAAGAAUAAGUCCCGGGGUCGAGUUGCUCGAUUAAAGGCGGUGCUCCAGCAUGGCCGCAGUCAAAUGACUGAAACAAGUAAAAGAGUAAAUGAUAUAUAUAUAUAUACACAUAUAUAUAUAUAUAUAUAUAUAUAUAUAUAUAUAUAUAUAUAUAUAUAUAUAUAUAUAUAUAUAUAUAUAUAUAUAUAUAUAUAUAUAUAUAUAUAUAUAUAUAUAUAGAUGCAUAUAUACGUACAUCUAUUCGUAUAUACAUAUGCAUAUUUGGGCACAGGACGUCACAAAACAUAAACAACAAAAAACACGAAGUACGAGGACAAGGAAUUAGGACUUUUUAUGCAAGCAGCGAAAGAAACAAAUGGAAAACAAGUGAAGCAACACAAGGAACGACCCUUCAUCAGUUGUCGGCUGUUUUUCUAAACCGUAUUUCGAGCAAUUCUCGACAAGAUACACCUUCGACAAAACAGUUGCUCCCGCAAAGCAAACUUUUAAAAACUUGCGAUCUUGUGGAGAGUCAAGAUUGGUGACAAAAACAGGACAGUGAAAACAAACAGGAAGGGCUGCUAGGCCUAAACGAAGUUGUUGUGGCGAAAGCGAAGAAAUAUAUAUAUAUACUGAAAUUACAGAAUAUGAAGUAUAAUGUUUAAAAAAUGAAUUAUUUAAGUUAAAUACUUUUUUUAAAAAAGGAGUGGCUGUGUGGUAAGAUUCUUGCUUACCAGCCUCAUGGUUCCGGGUUCAGUCCCACUGCGUGGCAACUUGGGCAAGUGUCUUCUACGAUAGCCUCGGGCCGGCCAAAGCCUUGUGAGUGGAUUUGGUAGACGGAAACUGAAAGAAGCCCGUCGUAUAUAUGUAUAUAUAUAUAUAUAUAUAUAUAUAUAUAUAUAUAUAUACUAGCAGUAUCGCCCGGCGUUGCUCAGGUUUGUAAGGGAAAUAACUAUAAAUCAUUUUUAGAGAGUUAUAGCCAAAAAACAGCAAAAAAAUGGAAAAAAAUGAUGGUAAAUUUUUUUUGAGAUUUAAAAAAGGUGGAGUUGCGUCCCCUAGACAGUUUGUGGUUCGUGUUUCUGAUUCUCGACCCCAUGUCGAAUUUAUCGAUUUUUUCAGAACUGGGGGAAGUUUUCAAAAUUUUCGCUGCGUUAGUUUUGAAUUAUGACAUUGGGCUAUGUGUGUGUCAAGUUUCAUCAGAAUCGGUUGAAAGCCGUGGUCAGGGUGAGGGUACAAGCAAACAGACACACAGAAACACGCACAGACAAACUGCCGUUUAUAUAGAGAGAGAUAUAUGUGUGUGUGUGUGUUUGUGUGUGUUUGUGUUUGUGUUUGUCCCCCCAACAUCGCUUGACAACCGAUACUGGUGUGUUUACGUCCCCGUUACUUAGCGGUUCGGCAAAAGAGACCGAUAGAAUAAGUACUAGGCUUACAAAGAAUAAGUACUGCGGUCGAUGUGCUCGACUAAAGGUGGUGCUCCAGCAUGGCCACAUUCAAAUGACUGAAACAAGUAAAAGUGUAAAGAGUAAGCUUUCCUUGAGAAAGUCGAUUUAAAUUUCGAUAUUUUUCUCAAUCAAUAAACACCUAAUACAACUUUUAUUCUAUUGAAAAAUGAAAAUAGCACUAAUGUCAAUUCUUUGAAGACUCAUUGCGUUUAAAUCGAAUAUCCUUUAUAGAAAAAAAUUCAGCAUUUUAAUUGGACAAAUAAUCCAGAUUUCAAAUUUUAUCGUUUUGCCGUCAAACAAGCAACGGGUAUCGAAUAUUAGAAUGGUCUAAAUUAUUCCUGACCUGUUAUGCUCACUUCAAAAGCUAGUUUAUAUUCUUCUCGUGCAAAGAUUUCGCCGACGACUUUUUCGAGUUCAAUCACGUCAUUGAAGGGUAUUUCCGACAAGGCACGUGACCAGCCGUAUCAAACCCUGGCGGGAAUGAAAAAUGAAAAGGGAUGAAAGAAGGUUGGUAAAAUCCUAACGAAGGAUGAAAGACGAAGUCGACCUCGUGUUUAUUCUAAGCACUAGUGUUUAUUCUCUUGUUACCUUCAAAUCCAAGUCAACACUGAUUGAGUAGGUCGAUGACUAGAGGCAAUCCAACCGUGACCGUCCGGGGGGGACAUGCCUAGGAUGUCAUUAUCUAAUGUUACAUUUCUAUAUUUAGGUCAACGUAAGAUUUGAUUUGGGAGAGAUUUGAGUUCUGUUGGACGACUCGGUAGGGGCUUCUCAUUUAGCCUGUGCUCAGUUUUUGUGAGCGCGCACGUGUGUGUGUGUUUGUAUAUUUCUACACAUGUAUAUAUACCACAUUCAUACACUUAUACAUAUAACACACCCGAACAUAUUUGAAGAUAAUGUUUUAAUAAAUUAAACAAAAUGUGAAAAAAAAACUUGAUCAAUAAAUGAGUGGAGUAUUUUAUUAGAGAGAAACACAAGGAGACUGUAAGUUCGAAGUUUCCGUAGUAUCUGAAACGUUGGAAUUUCACUGUUUCAUCAGAAGAUUCGUUACCGACAAAAUUUCCAACUAACUCACCCAAUAUUUCGGUCUAUGAAGGCGGCGAGCUGGCAGAAACGUUAGCACACCGGGUAAAAUGCUUAGCGGUAUUUCGUCUGCUGCUACAUUUUGAGUUCAAAUUCCGCCGACGUUGACUUUGCCUUUCAUCCUUUCGGGGUCGAUUAAAUAAGUACCAGUUACGCACUGGGGUCGAUAUGAUCGACUUAAUCCGUUUGUCUGUCCUUGUUUGUCCCCUCUGUGUUUAGCCCCUUGUGGGUAGUAAAGAUAUAGGUAUUUCGUCUGCCGCUACGUUCUGAGUUCAUAUUCCGCCGAGGUCGACUUCGCCUUUCAUCCUUUUGGGGUCGAUUAAAUAAGUACCAGUAAAACACUGCGGCCCAUCUAAUCGAUUAUCCUCCUCCUCCAAAUUUCAGGCCUUGUGCCUGUAGUACCAGGGAUUAUUAACAAUCGACGUGGAAUCGAAUUAGGACAAUGAAAACGGAAACAGCAUCUCUUUGAAUCGGUGAAGCAACAAAUUUUUUCUUUACUUCAAGAGUAAAGCGAAGUGGUGGCUGUGUGGUAAGUAGCUUGCUUACCAAUCAUAUGGUUCCGGGUUCAGUCCCCCUGUGUGGCACCUUGGACACUUAGCGGUUCGACAAAAAGAGGACGAUAGAAUAAGUACUAGGAUUACAAAGAAUAAGUCCUGGGGUCGAUUUGCUCGACUAAAGGCGGUGCUCCAGCGUGGCCGCAGUCAAAUGACUGAAACAAGUGAAAGAGUAAAAGCGGGAGUAUAACCACCCGUUUCAUUAAAUAGAAUACAAUACACACACAACCUCAAUGACCCCCACCCCAACGCCCCACACUCAUAGCAAAUAGAAAGAAAGAUCAAUAUUUUAAUUGCACCCGUUAUCAAAGGGGAAACGAUAGGAAGAUGGCGAUGAGUAAAUAAUACAAUGGAAAAAUAAAGAGCGAAGCAAGCAAAAAUACCAAUCUGAUUCACAUGUCUCGUGCUUACUAGCAGUGUCACGUGACAUUGUUCGUAUGAUAUAUGUGUGUGUCACAAUUUUUAUGAGCAACAGGCCAACCGACCAACCGGCCUGCCAGCCAGCCGUUUGUUCGCUGCCAAACGUUUGUUUGAAUAGGUCCGCAUGUGUGCAUGUGUGUAUGUGUGUAUGUACGUACGUAUGUAUGUAUGUAUGUAUGUAUGUAUGUAUGUAUGUAUGUAUGUAUGUAUGUAUGUAUGUAUGUAUGUACGUAUGUAUAUAUAUGCACGUAUGUAUUUAUGCAUGUAUGUAUGUACGUAUGUACCUAUGUAUUUAUGCAUGUAUGUAUGUCCGUAUGUAUUUAUGCAUGUAUGUGUGUAUGUAUGUAUGUAUGUAUGUAUGUAUGCAUGUAUGUAUGCAUGCACAAAUGCAUGUAUGUAUGUAUUUAUGCAUGUAUGUCUGUAAAUAUGUAUGUGUAUAUUUAUUCAUGUAUGUAUGUAUGUAUGUAUUUAUGCAUGUAUGUAUGUAUGUAUGUAUGUAUGCAUGUAUGCAUGUAUUUAUGCAUGUAUGUAUGUACGUAUGUAUAUAUUUAUGUAUGUAUGUAUGUAUGUAUGUAAGUAUGUAUGUAUUUAUGUAUGUAUGUAUGUAUGUAUGUAUGUAUGUAUGUAUGCGUGUAUGUAUGUAUGUAGUCAUUCUUUGCUACGUUCACGCACACUCACACAUGUGCAUACAUAUUAUAUACACAUGCGCAAAUAUAUACAUACGUACAUAAAUUUUCUUUCUUUCUCUCUCUCUCUCUCUUUCUCUUCCUUUGCGUAAACUUACACUCAUAAAUGUAUACAAACACACAGACACAUACGCAUACAUAAACACAUAACACACACACACACACACACACACACACACACACACACACACACACACACACACACACACAUACACACACAUACACACACGCACACACAGUCACGCAUACAUAAAUAUUCCAAACAUCAAAAUGAACCAUUCCUUCUUUCCGGUUCAGCCUAUUUUUGGCAGCUUUAAGAUAAGAUAUCCAAGCACUAAAAUAUGACUUUGCCAAAAUUUCGUCGCAGAAUGAUGUCAGUAUACUGCCCAUUGUUUCUCAAACGAUUAUUUGACAGAACUUGCCAAACGAAGGAUUACCCCCCGCUUUGAAAACGUUAAUUUUGCUCCAAUUUCCGUUUAAGGACUCCUCUUGGAAUUGGUAAUACUGUUUUGGAAAAUUGCCUGCAAUCUGAGGCCACCAUUAGUAUCUCCUUUAUUUGUCUUUUGUAUCACUUUACUAUCGCAUUUUUUCUACUUUCGUUUUCCGUUUCAUUUUUUUUCCUUUUCUUAUUCUCCCCGUUUCCUUCCUUUUUUGUUGUCUCUAUAUUUUCUUCAUUCCAUUCUAUUUAUAUUUUUACCUUGUUCUUCCCAAUUUUCAUUCGUUUUUCCUUUAUCCUUUUUUUCUAGAAUUCUCUCUAGUAUUAUUGUAUUUUAGUACUCUAUAAAUUUUCCAUCUCUUCAAAUAUGAUAUUCGUGUUUUUUGUUUUCAUUUAAAACUUCGUUCUAUCUGUAUUUCACCUCUUCGAUUUAAAGCAAUCUACAAAAGAAGCAUAAGAAUGUAAAAAUUAAUGCAUAUUCUACUGUAAAUAUCGAAGGCCUGAAAUUUCGAGCAGAAGAGAGUGGUCAACCGUCGAUCUCAGCGUUCGCCUGGCGGUUUAUGUUUCGAAUCCAAAGAAAUGGAAAGUAAAGUUGGUCAUGGUGAGAUUUGAACCAAGAACACGAAGAAGCAGGAGUUCCGGAGACCUAAAGUUUCUACAAAUACACGAGCUCAACUUUAGUUUUUGUUUCUGAUUUUGGCAGGAGGCCAGCAGAUUUGAUGGGUGUGGGGCUGGUCGUUAACAUUGGUACCAGUAUUUGAUUGGUAUUUUAGGGAACAUCGAUGGCUGAAUGGUAAAGUAGACAAAGCUGAGCUCAGCCGGAUUUGGGCUACUCGACCAGAAGAAUAUGGUAAUCAGGCCCUACAUGCAAGGUUACGUACUUUUUUUCUUGAUAUGAGGUUACCAUCACACGCACUUAUGCUUGUGAUGCAUGUGCCUAGUGCAUCUUUAUCAGAUGUGUAGUCAUGAUUGGUAUAUUGGGCCUCGUGCAUUUGGACCCCAGCGUCACUUUGACAGCAUGUACUGCUCUCUCACUCAGUAAUAAUAAUAAUCCUUUUCUCUGUAGGCACAAGGCCUGAAAUUUUGUGAGGGGCGGGGUGCAGGUCGGUUACGUCUACUCCAGAAUUCAAAUGGUACUUAUUUUAUCGAUUGUGAAAGGAUGGAAUUGAAAGUCGACCUCAGCGGAAUUUGAUCUGAGAACGUGAAGACGGGUUCGAAAUGCCGCCAAAUUCUUUUGUCCGACGUAAUAACCCAACAUAGAGUAAUUUGAACAGAGAAUAUAAACGAUAAGGAAGAAGAACACAAGAGUCGCGUCAGCAAUAAUAGUGUUUGAUGGAGUGGGAGUGGUGGAGAAGAGAAGGUGAUGAUCAUAACUCGUCGUCGUCGUCCUCCCCCUCCCCCUUCACAUCAAACAAUACUUGUUAAUACGUAACCAUUCAUUCCAGAUCUUCACGGAUUCUUCGAUUCACCAAUCUGCGUAAUAGUUAUGGUUUCGCUAACAGUCAUUAUCAAUUGAACAAAAGUUACAAAUUCUUCCAUUCACCUAUCUCGUAGUUAUGACAAUUCUUCAAGCCAGAUUAUUUUUUCAUACCACAGUAUAUCACCAAAGCCACAUACAAAUUGUUUAUCUAAAGAAACUAUUGCGUGCAACAAUACACGACUUCUUUUCUACCAUCAUCAUCAUCAUCAUUAUCAUCAUUAUUAUUAUUAUUAUUAUUAUUAUUAUUAUUAUUAUUAUUAUUAUUAUUAUUAUUAUUAUUAUUAUUAUUUAUUAUUAUUAUUAUUAUUAUUAUUAUUAUUAUUAUUAUUAUUAUUAUUAUUAUUAUUAUUAAUCCUAUGGUUGAUGUCAGGAGUACUUUUAGCGUAUACAGACAUCCACAAUAAGUAAGAUAUAUAUAUAAUAUUACACCUGUAAUGUAGAUAGAAAGGUUUGUUGUUGUUCAGCCAUUGCAACACUGUUUAGUUGUUCUUAUGAGGAGUGGAGGGGAGGAAGGGCGGCAUGGUUCUCUUGUUACGUUCGCUUCGACUUUCAAUGAUUUCUGGUUUGGUUUCACUAUUUGGAAUCUUGGGUGUCUUAUACGAUAGCUAUAAGUAUAUAUGUUACAUACAUACACAGACACACACAGACAAACACACAGAAACACACACACACACAUGCGUGUUUGUAUGUAAGUCUUCACACUCUCCACUUCAUAUAUAUAUAUAUAUAUAUAUAUAUAUAUAUAUAUAUAUAUAUGUAUAUAUAUAUAUAUGUUUACAUAUGUAUAUAUAUAUAUAUAUAUAUAUACACACACAUAUAUAUAUAGUUAUAUGUAUGUAUGUAUGUAUGUAUGUAUGUAUGUAUCUAUCUAUCUAUCUAUCUAUCUAUCUAUCUAUAUAUAUAUAUAUAUAUAUAUAUAUAUUCUUUUACUUGUUUCAGUCAUUUGACUGCGGCCAUGCUGGAGCACCGCCUUUAGUCGAGCAAAUCGACCCCGGGACGUAUUCUUUGUAAGCCCAGUACUUAUUCUAUCGAUCUCUUUUGCCGAACCGCUAAGUGACGGGGACGUAAACACACCAGCAUCGGUUGUCAAGCAAUGCUAGGGGGACAAACACAGACACACACACACACACAUAUAUAUAUAUAUAUACGACAGGCUUCUUUCAGUUUGCGUCUACCAAAUCCACUCACAAGGCAUUAGUCGGCCCGGGGCUAUACCAGAAGACACUUGCCCAAGAUGCCACGCAGUGGGACUGAACCCAGAACCAUGUGGUUGGUUAGCAAGCUACUUACCACACAGCCACAUGUAUGUAUACAUGCAUACAUACACAUACAAACAUACAUAUAUACAUAAUAUAAGAAAUGUAUUCCAGUGUUUUUGAGACCUUUUCAAGAAAGCCAUUUAUUCGUUUCAAUGAAGAACAAAUCUCUGAUCUCCCUCAAAGGACGAUCAUCUGUUUUCAAUGCAUUUGUUCUAGAGCUUCUGCCUCUUCAAGAAGACAUCAUGGAAGCCGUCCAGCGUGCAAGAAUGCUGGAGUUUUGUCUCAAAACUUCUGGAAGGCAUCUCGUACACACAUGAAUACAUACAUACUCUCAAGCACGCACACACACACACGCGCAAGUGUGUAUAUGAGAUAAAACAGAAUCUACGGAGACUGGCGCAAGUCAGUAAGACUUGUAUUAUUUGGAAAAUGUGACAAAAAGAAUACAUAGAAAUCUCCGUUGAGAAUGGUGUAUUCAAGUGCUGCUUCGGACAGCCUUUCUUCAAAGCAAAGAUGAUAGGAAAGAAACAAAACACAAAUUCGGAUGGUCAGUGGUUCCCCAUCCAGCCUACAACCCAGAUCUGGGGCCUUCCAUCUUCUUGUUAGGUCAGAAGAAGGACAGUCCUUCAUGGACAGAGAUUUGACGACAUGGAUGAGGUGGAAAUGAGAGUGAAGAAGCAAAAGACUACACCUGAAUUCUCUAUUAGCGAGGAAGACAGUAUUAACACGAAGAGAUAAUUUUUAUAUCCAGUUAUCAUCUCGUAUAGGCACUUGGUGCAUAAAAGCACACAGAUAUUAGCAAGAAAGAAUCGGCUGUCAUGGGCGCAAGAUUUCCCAUAUCAUUCGAAGGCGGCGAGCUGGCAGAAACGUUAGCACGGCCGGAUGUAGUGCUCUGAGCUAGGAUGCGUGCUGUAAGAAACGAAGGUGUUGGAGCCGUCCGAGAGGCCUGAGUAGCGGAGGUGCAACAGGUCAACAAAGCCACCAUUCGGUUUCUGGUAGAUGAACAGGGACGCGAAUUACUCGAACCAAGUAAAAUGUGCAAGGCCUUUCAACAGCAUUUUGCCCGACUGUUCCGGACGAGUGGCGAGCGAGAACGCAGGGUGGACUUCCGAUCAGGCGGAAUAUUAGCCUACUCGUCUAGUCAGUGGAGUAGCAGUUAUUGAAAACUGAAAACGAUACAAAUCGCAUUGUGACUAUCGCUGUAGAAUACCAUCCGAUAGUCUGGUCUCUCACGUGAUUACGUAUAUCUAUAUUUAUAUCUAUAUCUAUCUAUCCAUCCAUCUAUCUAUCUAUCUAUCUAUCUAUCUAUCUAUCUAUCUAUCUAUCUAUCUAUCUAUCUAUCUAUCUAUCUAUCUAUCUAUCAAUCUCUCUCUCUCUCUCUCUAUAUAUAUAUAUAUAUAUAUAUAUAGCAAUAAUAAAUGCUAGCCAUCUC
rnacentral:lncRNA from 1 species